rnacentral:rRNA from 1 species
UACCCGCAGCACAAGUGGUGGUCAUUAUUAUUGGGCCUAAAGCGUCCGUAGCUGGCUUGUUAGAUGCCUGGGUAAAUCGAUGCGCUCAACGUAUCGACUUCCGGGUAGACCGGCAAGCUCGAGACCGGGAGAGGUGUAGGCUACUCGAGGGGUAGGGGUAAAAUCCUGUAAUCCUUCGGGGGAGGACCAGUGGCGAAGGCGCUACACUAGAACGGCUCUGACAGUGAGGGACGAAGCCCUGGGGCGCAAACCGGG